rnacentral:rRNA from 1 species
UUAGAUACCCUUGUAGUCCACACAGUAAACGAUGAAUACUCGCUGUUGGCGAUACAAUGUCAGCGGCCAAGCGAAAGCAUUAAGUAUUCCACCUGGGGAGUACGCCGGCAACGGUGAAACUCAAAGGAAUUGACGGGGGCCCGCACAAGCGGAGGAACAUGUGGUUUAAUUCGAUGAUACGCGAGGAACCUUACCCGGGCUUAAAUUGCAACUGACGGACUUGGAAACAGGUCUUUCUUCGGACAGUUGUGAAGGUGCUGCAUGGUUGUCGUCAGCUCGUGCCGUGAGGUGUCGGCUUAAGUGCCAUAACGAGCGCAACCCUUACCGACAGUUACCAUCAGGUAACGCUGGGGACUCUGUCGGGACU